CAGUCGCCGCGGGAAUACAGAGGGUGCGAGCGUUAAUCGGAUUUACUGGGCGUAAAGCGUGCGUAGGCGGCUAAUUGAGUCGGAUGUGAAAUCCCCGAGCUUAACUUGGGAAUUGCAUUCGAUACUGGUUAGCUAGAGUGUGGGAGAGGAUGGUAGAAUUCCAGGUGUAGCGGUGAAAUGCGUAGAGAUCUGGAGGAAUACCGAUGGCGAAGGCAGCCAUCUGGCCUAACACUGACGCUGAGGUACGAAAGCAUGGGGAGCAAACAGGAUUAGAUACCCGGGUAGUCCAUGUCUCUUAUAA
rnacentral:rRNA from 1 species